AUGGACCGUGUGAUGACAUACAUAAAGCUGCUUCACAAGGAGGUUCUCAAUAUACCCGAAAGAUGUGCACAUAUGGUAAUGGAAAAGUUGAACACGGAAGGUAUGCUGUACGAACCCAAUAAGAGGGACACCAAUGACGAAUUUGAUAAUGUAGGUGAAGGAGUUGGGAUGGAGAAUGGCCAGUACAAGUCAUCAAAAUAUUGGCCAGAUAUUGAUUCACCUACCGACGUGGAGCUAGUAACAUCUUUCACAUGUUUCAAUGAUACCGACGUGCCCGUUGAUGACACGGGUGCUCCGACGACGACACCGGGUAAAGGUGACGCUACUGAUCCUUUCAUUAUAGACGAUAAUGGAAAGUCUCCAUGUUCGUCAUCAACGGAACGUACAAAAGAGUUUCCGUCUAUGUCCCGAACCCCGCAGAAUGCUGAUAUUUCUGGUGAGUCUAUGGGUGGUUUGUCACCAACAAAGUCUGAAGACAUGUCUGAGAGUUUCCCGGCAAAGAGCAACAUAGGUAAUGGUGAAGACAGUCAGGACAAUGAAGAUCUGUUUGCAUCGUCACCCUAUUCAAUUCUGGCAAGUUCUCUUAAUAUGACUCCGGAUCACAUAGAGGAAGCCAGAGUUUUUGUUGAGACUCUCGCAUCGACAAAGAAGCAUGCACACUGA
rnacentral:rRNA from 1 species